UAUCACCGGUUCUUGUACGAUCACCGAAGUUAAGCAAAGUCGAAUCUGGUCAGUACCUAGAUGAGUGAACGUUUGGGAAUACCAGGUGCUGUAAG
rnacentral:rRNA from 1 species